rnacentral:lncRNA from 1 species
GACUAUUUUCUUAUACUUUGUCUGUGAAACCUCACUCUUUCUUUCUCUCUUUGUUGGUGUGAAGAAAUGAGAGUUGAAGCUCUCCUUUUAUAGCCAAAGCUUCACUCUCUAAAGCCUACAAUAUUUGACAAUUUACACACACUUUUCACAAUUCAACAAAGUUGGCUACCAAACCAAAGAAAUUCAACAAGGUUGGCUACCAAACCAAACUAAUUCAACAAGGUUGGCUACCAAACCAAA